rnacentral:rRNA from 1 species
UGCAGUCGAGCGAAGCUUUUCAGUAGUUUACUACAGAAAAUGACUGAGCGGCGAACGGGUGAGUAACGCGUGAGCAAUCUACCUUAGUUACAGGGAUAGCCCGAGGAAACUCGGAUUAAUACCUGAUAUUCUUUAUUUCUCGCAUGAGAAUAAAAGGAAAGGUCAGCCGAACUAAGAUGAGCUCGCGUUCUAUCAGCUAGUUGGUGAGGUAAAAGCUUACCAAGGCUACGACGGAUAGCUGGUCUGAGAGGAUGAUCAGCCACACUGGGACUGAGACACGGCCCAGACUCCUACGGGAGGCUGCAGCAGGGAAUAUUGUGCAAUGAACGAAAGUUUGACACAGCGACACCGCGUGUGGGAUGACGGAUCUAGGUUUGUAAACCACUUUCAGGAGGGAAGAAAAUGACGGUACCUCCACAAGAAGCCCCGGCCAACUACGUGCCAGCAGCCGCGGUAAU